AGUGGCCAUUAUUUUAUACUGAAGAUGAGCUGUGUGUGUUUGAAGCUGGCUUCUAGUUGCCACCUCUCAGGUCUGAUGAAUCCAUGUAUGCAAAGCUUGGACACUCAUCAAAUAGAAGCUAAAAUAGAGAUUAUUGUGUCUCACAUCACAGUAACAAAGAAUGCCGGAAGAGAGUGACUGCAAGCUGCACCUUGCUGUUGGGUGUUUCUGUGGGCCUACCAUCAGAGGGCACAUUUCUCAAAGUGGUUUGAAGCAGCUGACAAAUGUGAACUGGUUCCUGGAGGCUGUGUCUGUUGGAGAGCUGAUUUUUUUUUUUUCCUGCCCUCCUCUUGGUUUCCUGCCUGCAGGUGGCAUUAGAUAGCAAUUUGAUUGCGGGUAAUGAGUGGACUUCGCUUCUCUCUUUCCUUAGGCUAGUUUUACAAAAAGCUGAAGUCAAAAUGUAAAAACACAGCCCUUGUGUAAGGAUCCCCGUGCAAGAGGUGGGCUUUACCUUCUCACAUUCCUUGUACAUUGCAGCCCAACCAAAAAUGUUUUUCUUUUUACACAUGUAAAUUCCUAUAUGUAAUCAAAACACGAUAUGAUCCUGCUUUGGAAUCAGUAGGUAGUUGGGGGGGAAGGGGAUCUUUAGUCAAAAACAAUGAUUUAAAGAAAAAAAAGAUAGCUACUGACUUGUUGGCUUCUAGAAUGGAAAUACACGCAAACAAAAACAAUUGGGAAGAGGUGAGUGAAAACAUACCCAAAUGGAAGCAAACAGAGAAGCCCAGUACCAGGCUUUUGAUCAUGGUAUGUAUCCAUGGCAGCAAGACAAAUCAGCAGAAUUUGGUCAGUUAAAGUAAUGCUUUCCAGCUACUGAAACUACUCCUGGGAUUUGGGUUGGAGAAAUCAGAAGACGGAAAGGCUAUAUGAAUGUAGUGGGAUGGGCAGGUAUGGCUGCUUUGCUGAACAGCAAUAGUACUUGCUGGUACUACUCACGGGCGUUUUCUUCUAAUCACACUGUGAUGUUCUUAGAUUCAUAUGUGUGUCUACUGCAGACUCCUGAUUUUGUUCUUUCUUCAUUAGCCUGGUGAUGGUACAGCUUUGGCAGCUGAGUCGUCAUCCCUUGCCCACUUUCACUGAACCGAGAAGCUCAGUCAACACAACUGCAAUGACCCAUGGACCUGCCCUGGUAAGGCCAGCUCUUCUGCCAUGCAGGAAGCAAGGCACUGCUGCCUUCAUCUGUACCAGUCAUUGGGACAGCGUGAGAAAACACACACUUGAAUGCUUUUUUUUUUUUAAAUGAAUUUUUUUUUUUAAGAAACUGCAUACAUCAGGGACAAACAAUAAUUUAAAUAGCAUGCAGUUUCAGUAUGUACAAAAACUAGGACAUAGAGAUCCAGCUUAAUUUUUUUUCUAAUUAUUUACAUUGUUUUCAUACAGCCAUAAUCUGUUAAAUUACAAUACUGGAAGAGCACAUGAUUGACAGCCACCACACUCACUCCUAUACAAAGACAAACUAUAUACAUACACUUGGAUAUCAACUGGUAAAUGCAACUGGUGCAGGAGUAACUGGGACACAUGGGAAAGCAGUAACAUCUAGAGUGUGCACCUGGAAUUGUCUAGACACAAAGGCUGGUCUGAGCCCUAUCCCAGGAAGCCUGGAGCCUAAAACUAUUUCAGCAUGCAAGUACUUAACCAAUGGAGCCUAGGGUGGAGAAAGGCCACAACACCGACCUUCCCUGUUGGUCCUGAGUCCAUCGCCAAAUCCCUGUAGUCCACCCCUGGCAAGAGUGUGGGUGAGAACGCAAUGCCAAUGUUGUGCUACCUUGCCAUUGCUUUUUUCCAAAUCAUAGAACUUUCAUCUAGAAGUUCUGUAGUUGCUGUUUCAAUUCUUCCUUCCUGCUCGGUUUCUAGCUCAUCUCUUCAUGGGCUGUAGGACAGGUCUUGUUACUUUGCACAUUUUAAGUACAAAUAACCCACAGUUCAGCAGAUAAUACAGCUCUUGUAUAUUACAUCCAUUAUCAGUCCUGGAAUACCAGUUUUUGUUCUGUGUUGACUUUUUCCGUUUUCUAAAUGUGAUGUAGUUUCUUUAUUGCUACUGUUAAUCUCUUCCUAAUAUGAAUGAGGAUGACUGGUGGUAACUGAGUCUUCAGCAGGAAUGCUGUCUUUAUUUCCUUCACAUAAUCCAGCUGAUGGAGGAUGGAGGAAUCAGGACUACUUUUUUCCUCUCCCACCAGAAUCACAGCUGUGGUAGAGAUGGCCUUCAUAGAUGAGAAAACUGAGUGCUCAUUUGUUUUAACAAUGGACUAGCUGUUCCCCAUCCUAUUUGCAACCUCCCAAGAAUGACAUAGCUGGAUCUGCCCACUGAGGACAUGCUGUGAUGUUCAGGCACUGACAGGUUCUCGAAGAAUGCCUUGUCAUAGGAUAACUUCGCAAAAUACCCCAAACUACUGGAGCUAAAGCCAGCCUGCUCCCUUCAAGUGCGUACUUCCUGAGGCCAUUUGCCAAACCAGCAAGUCCUGCUGAACUUCAAACCCUUGUGCCAAUUUCCAUUGUAUUAACUGUAGCUUUGAGUUUGCCUGACCCAGGCCUGAAUGGAUCAAAGCCCCGUGGUAGCUGUCAAACACAAAUAAGCAUAACUCAAAGGGUGACCGCUCACCCCAGCAAUGGAAAAGCAGCAAAAUACUGCUCUGAAACCUGCAAAAGCCAAGCAGGUAGAGAGGCUUCCUGGAAAACUAUCAGCACUGUCUGAGCUGAAACCGGGACAUGGGGAGGGUGCAGUGCAGUGCUUGCUCAAGUGAUGGCAAAUAAUUGGGUGCAUUCUGAUACAUUGGCUAAACAUGGUCCUGUGAAAAGCAAACAAAAAUACUCAGCUGUGUUUUCUGUUUUGAUAAAGGAACUUGAGAAUAAGCUUCAGGAUUGAAGAAAACAUCCAUUUUUUUGGUAUAUUUGUGGCUCCCUUUUCAGUCAACAUAAAUACAUUAAAACUGAAGGUUCUCAAAUGGAAUGUAUAGAGUUGCAAUCACACAUUCAGCUCAAACAAAAACCCAAUCACGUCUCUUUACCAGACUUCUAUAAGCCCUCUCUUACCAGAGAAAUAGCCCUCGCUUCACAACCACACCUUAUUCACGUCAUUGCUCUUUGGCACUACGUACAAUUGUAACUAUUCCCCUUCUGUAUGGCAGAUGCAAGAUGUAGAUGUCAGUACUGAGAGAUUUGCACUCAUUCAUCUCUUUCUAUGUACUUACUCUAGGCAGGUUCCCUGUCCUGCUCUUCAAUGUUAUUUACUCUUGAUAGCAGCAGAACUGACACCAGGGCACAAUGAUUUACAACAAAAGGUUACACAGCAAAUGGCGUGUGCCUGCAUACAGCCAUGUAAUAGGGCAGCACAAGUUCAUUAGUGUGUUUCUUUGACAGCCUGUAAUUCUAAGUGGGGUCACGAGUUCAUAGGGUGCUUGAGAAAUGGUUGCUGUUUCGUAUUUUUUGGAAAAAUAACAGUAUUCACUGCUAUCCUUAAAAUAAUGAACUUACCUUGUUAGAUGCCUACUUAAUUCAUGAACUUCCAUUUCAGAGCUUUUAAAUUCAUUAAGCUCUUUACGAAUGGCUGCCUGCAAAGGACAAAUAAACUCAUAAAUGUAUAAAUGACAGAGAUCAAAACAAUAUAUUAGAAGUGAAGCAAAUAACAUUAUUAGAGAGAAGAAACAACAACAUGUGAAAAGGAAAAGAGAUAAAUGUUCCAAAUUGCAUAAAAGGAAGAAAUAAAUGCUUCAGUGGGAUGGAUCAAUUUGAAAGUGCAGACAAUGCUGAUACAAAAGCCAAUUUGGGUUUAUUUUGUAAACACUCUCAUAUACAAAAUCCAAAUUAGCAUAAGUAUGAGACAAAAAUCAUGCACCAGAGCUUCUCAAACCCUGUGCUCUGUUUCAGAGCUGGACUGUGAGUAAAGUUGGUGUUGGUAGAUCUCACCAGAAUUACAUCUGAGAUGUCUCUCCCCUUUAUGCAGUCCUAAAUUCCCUCUGGUGAAGCCACCUAACCUGGCUGAGCUUACUCAAGAGGGAAAGGGGCUGGCCUGGCUCCCCACCUUUCUCUCUGCCUCAGGCCAUGCCCCUCUGCCCUCAUCCUCUGCUCUGACCCAGUUGCUUCACCUGCCAAACCCAUCCAAACUAACCCUAAGUGGCUGGAUCAACUUCAGCAGGAGAACCUAUUACCUUCAGCUUCUGUAGUUUGUCCACAGGGGAAAAGAAAGUGAUAGGACGGAGAAUACUGAAGAAGAAAAGAAAGGUUAACUUUGAGGGACUCGGCUUCUUGGUGGAGAGGGCUCUCAGCAAAAACAGCUCUAGCUCCACACUGCAGGUUUCCGAUAGUGCUGUGGUAUUUGUAGCACACAAGUGGGCCUCUCCAUGAGCUUACAGAACAGAUGUGCCAGUGUGGUCAAGUGCUCCCAUGAGCCCAAGGUGUGUGCCACUGCUGGGAGCAUCAGUGGCUGGAAAUGGCCACUCCAGUUACAGGUACUUGUGGCUGUCAAGAAUGUUUCCUUGAUUAAGUAAGUCUAAACCAGGAUAAAGAGCUCAAGCCCAGAACAGGGCUUCCACAGCAGCCACUGAUCUGGUCACCACUGACCUUCGCCUGGACAAGGCCUACAUGACAGAUCUUCUGAGUAUGAUCUACAGAAAAAAGCCUCUUGUGCUCUUCCUACACAGCUUGCCUUUUUUUUUUUUUUAAUUAACUUCAGAAAUGUUCGUCAGGCUCUGCCUCUGUCUGUCAGGGCAGAGAGAUGAUUAUGCAGCAGCUCAAGGGUCUACCUUUAGCAGACCCAUUUGCUGCUCAAGUGACUGUGAAGGAGGUCACAUGGGCUGAUACCUCCCACUGGGUUUGAAAUCUAUCACCUCCUGCAUCUCUCAGCUGCUGGGGAGAUGUAGAAGUGCCCUUCUUCCUCCAGCAGUCAGACUUGGCAAAGAUGAAGCCAGGCUGAACAGUUCCCCACGUCCAGAACGCAGAGGAAGAUUUACUGAGAAACAGAAAAGCCCAUUACUAAAACUUUUGCAAUAAAUUUAGCCUGUGCUGACCAGUGGAGGCAGUCAUUGAAUCAGAACUUUUGGAAGAAAAUAAUGGGUUAUAGGAUGUUGUAGCUUUGUCAGGUUCUGUGGUGUUGGUUCCAACUUGGCUAUUUAUUUCCCCUCCCCCCACAACAGAGGAUAGUGGUAGGGAAAGAAGGUAAUCUGAAUGGCAGAAGUUAGAACACUUCCCAGAUAACCCAAACGUGAAGAAUAUAUAUUUUUCUUCAUUAUGCCAGAAGGGGCAUUGAUGUUGGAAGGAAAAGUAUUUUUUUCUUCUGGUUCAUUUAGAGAACACGAGAUUCACGUAUUGACCUCACACGUGUGUUAUAAAGAAGGAAAGGUGACCUCAAAGUACUUCUCUUUCAUACUGAACUCUUUACCAGGCUAGGUAUCAUAGAGACAUUUGAUACUCGUUCUUUUCACAGACAUAGGGUGAGAAAAGACAUCUCUAAACACCUCAUCUUCUCUUCCCCAGUGAGGUAUUUCCACACCUUCCGUCCCAUGCAGAGAUCUCUCAAAGACAGAAGAACUGAUUGGAAAUGUAUUCCUUCCCUCACCUACUGGGAGAACGUAACUCCCUACAAAAUAGAUAGGUAGGACAAGACUUUAGUCAACUGAUUUAGCCUCUGUGGUAACGUAAAAAUGGGAAAAGCAAAUUUAAUGCCCUAUACUAUCGUCUGGGGACAGUCCAGAAAAAGAGUUUUUGUUCAGAUCAGUUUAUACUACAUGAAAGUUACUGAAAGCUAAGCUGAAAAGGACCUCUAUUGAGGAGAAAACUAGUGGUUACAAAACCUUACAAUUAAACAAGUUAAGUAAGUAAAACUGUCCAUCCCUUCCUCUAUGAAGCAAGACAAGAACACUACAGGUGAUUGUCACAGCCAGAAUUCCAGCUGCUUUCAACACUGGAUAUCAUGGUCUGGUCUCCAUCACUGCAUCAGGCCCUCAGCAAAGACAUAUGCAGGGCUUAAAUCCAGGUACCUGAAUGCCUUCAAAAUUACAAGGGCAACACAGAGUGAAUUUAAAGCACAGCAGUCACCUACCAGACUCAGAGUCCUCUUCUUACAACUGCCAUAAAACAUUUAAAUUCUUCUUCACCACUUAGACCCUCAGGAUGUGACUUUCACCAUUUGAUAGUGAUUUAACCUCUCUGCCACCAGAGGCAUGCUUCACGAAGACAGACAGUUCAGAGGACAGUGCAUUUAUUACCAAAUCUGCAGGGCUCAUGAGGCCUCUGCUUAGUGGUUACAGUACUGUGUGGGAGGAGGCAGGUAUUCUGAGGAAUCACACCUGUCUCAACCCCUACAGGAAAAUAACUUGGCCUCAGUGGGAUGGAGGUGCUUUUGCCAAUUUGACCCACUGGCAUUCCUGCAGCCAGGCCUGUUCAGUUCUGGCAGGUGCUGCUGUUAGGUCUGUCAUGUUGAAAAUCACUUGUGGGCACUCUUAGCUGACAGAAUUACAUGGUGAGCCCCUCCCCCCCCAAAAAAACCAUUGAAUAAACACAGGGCUACCAUCAAGGCUUUUCCUCAAAGGGUCUUACUCUUUUAAAAUGGUGUAACGCUGCUACAUUCCCACACACACAGGAGCCUUCUUGCCAAAGGUGUAUAACUCAAACCACAAACCUGGUGAACUGGGAAGAGAGCUCAGAUGGUUUCCCCUUGGUGGCUUUGGGACCUGAGGGAUGCUGUUGACCAUGACAUGCUCUAGCUGUUCAGGUCAUGGCUCUCCCCAGGUCACUCCACUUACUUUGUCAGCAGCUGUGAGUCGCGUCCAGGGUUUGUCUGCCCUCCUGUCAUAGUCUUGCGCGUCGGCCACUUCCACGUAGUCACUGAAGCGAAUGAGGAUCUUCCUCUCACGCAGCUCCUCUACUGUGGGCCUCUGACUCAGCUGCAUGGUAGAAGAAGUGGUGGGGAAAAGAAAAAAGACAUCAGAACUUCACUUCUUCCCUGCAGAGUGCUGCCUGGGGAUCAGUUUUACUACAACCGCCAUUGUGAUAAUAAGAGAGUUCAAACGCUGCCAGUAUUAUUGUUUUUAAUCAGACUUCCACAGACCUGCUACCUGGGAGACAGAUAACCUGUUGUUUGCUGCAUCACCUUGUUUGUCAUCCCACCUCACUGCUGGAGCAGAACGCUGUUGUUCAGGAAGCAGCUGUGGCAGGAGGCUCUGAUCCCUGUCUGAGGCUGAACACCUCUGGCAGACAUUAGAUGUAAUGCAACAAAGACAGCCGGUGCAGCAAUGCCUCAGGAGGAGAUGAAGACUCCCAUAAGCUCCCUUGUCUUGAGCUGCUGUGAGCGCUUUAGUGCUGCCUGGGAAGGGCUAUGCACAGGAAUAGAAACGCACAGGAUCCUGCCCUGAGUUAGUUGCAGAUGGUGACAAACAACUUUCCUUACCAUUCUGACAUUCUGCAGACCUGCCCUUACCCUCCAGACAUGGUGGGCAGGAUGAUGACUACUGCUCACUGAAUGUUUCACUGAGUGCCGCAGCUCAAUUUUAUGCCACAGCAUAUUUGACUUUAACAGCUUACACCGCCUAUUACAGGCCAAAUAAAAAAUUGCACGGGUGGAUUGUAUCGUGUCAAGAAAGCCUCUUCACUAUUCCAAAGCCAUUUCUUUCAACUUCUCAGCCAGAGUCACAAGUCCAUGUAUUGUAUGGCCACUUACAUGACCAAGGGCAGGUACUGGCUUUCUGGGAUCAGUUCUCCUUGGAUGCACAGCUUGCUGGUUAAUGUCAAGUGGAAUUAUGUGACUGUUUCUGAAGAAGCCACAACAGAUGUGUGCGCAUGUGGAUGUGCAUUAGCUGCUAAUCCUCCAUUAGUGAAACAUCUAUAGUAGUGAUAUUAUCAGGAAAAAAUAACCUGAAAGUACUAACAUUUAGCUAGACAGUAUCUCAUGCUAUUACCACUCACCAGAAAUAAGCGUGCUUUGCAAUGCUUCACUCUUGUGACCAGUGAAAAGUUAAGCACUCUAUGAAAUGCUCGAGACUCUUCUCUGCAAAGGAGUUUAGGCUCCUGGAUCCUAAUGUGCAAUUCCACCUACCUCCCAAAUUAAGCAUCUCAGUUCAUUUCACUUCAUCUCCCAUUGAGAAUUAACAUUCAAACUAGACAGGAUGCUGAGGAUGAGAGAUCUGUAAGAUUGCAGGAAAGAAGCCCACAUCUCUCCAGCAUCCAAUUGCUGGGGUAGGAUUACUCCUCCACCCCAUCCCGCCUCUGCGCUUAAAUCCCUGCGUGACUGUCCUCAUAUCAUCCCUGGAGAAUGCUUGACUCACUUCUCUUUCAUGAGAAAGCGCUGCUACUGGAAGUGACAGUGGUGCUGCUCUAUUAACACAGACAGUCCUCAGCACUCACAAAGUGGAUUCGGACAUCACCUGUAGAAAGGCUGCAAAGCUGCACUAAUACCCCAUCCGUGAGCUGCUCAGGUAGACAGGAAUCCCAUUCUACUCAUCCUGGCUGCAGCUGAGCCAUUUGUGCCCAAAUAAGAGAAAAAUCACAAAAGGAAACGUUACCAAGCACACACCUUUACUGCCACGUCAUGCCUUUGCCUAGGGCAGCAUCCAUCAAGUUGCAGCUCGGUGGUUUGUGUAUUGUCUCUCAAGUCAUUUUAGGGUAAAUUACACUUAACAGGAAAAAAAAAAUCCUUACUACAUUGAAAA
rnacentral:lncRNA from 1 species